GGGGGCGGUUUUCGAGAGACGCGGGACGGCUGCCCCCGUCGGCGCGCUCGAUCGCUCCUCCGCCGGUCCGGCUUCUCCUUCGUGCGGAGGCCUUUGGCGACAAAGGCGAAAGCCGGCCUCAAUGUCCGAGAGUCGCGCGGGGAUAGAUUACCCGAGAGGUGGAAAACAACCCUGGCUCCGGAGGCGGUGAAAAAUGACAGGCGGACCGCGUCCGGGA
rnacentral:sRNA from 12 species